GUGCUCGCUUUGACAGCACCUAUAUUAAAAUUGGAAUGAUACAGUGAAGAUUAGCAUGGCCCCUGAGCAAGGAUGACAGGCAAAUUCGUGAAGCAUUCCAUGUUUAA